rnacentral:rRNA from 1 species
CCUACGGGAGGCAGCAGUGGGGAAUAUUGCACAAUGGGGGAAACCCUGAUGCAGCGACGCCGCGUGAGUGAAGAAGUAAUUCGUUAUGUAAAGCUCUAUCAGCAGGGAAGAAAAUGACGGUACCUGAGUCAGAAGCCCCGGCUAACUACGUUCCCGCAGCCGCGGUAAUACGUUGGGGGCAAGCGUUAUCCGGAUUUACUGGGUGUAAAGGGAGCGUAGACGGCAGUGCAAGUCUGGAGUGAAAUGCGUGGGCUCAACCCACGGACUGCUCUGGAAACUGUACGGCUGGAGUGCAGGAGAGGUAAGUGGAAUUCCUAGUGUAGCGGUGAAAUGCGUAGAUAUUAGGAGGAACACCAGUGGCGAAGGCGGCUUACUGGACUGUAACUGACGUUGAGGCUCGAAAGCGUGGGGAGCAAACAGGAUUAGAUACCCGUGUAGUC